UACUCUGCUACAUAGUGUAUAUGUUGUUGCGGUUAAAAAGCUCGUAGUUGAAUUUCUGUUAGGGACGACCGGUCCACCCUCUGGGUUGGUAUCUGGCUUGGCCUUGGCAUCUUCUCGGGGAACGUUCUGCACUUCAUUGUGUGGUGCGGUAACCGGGUCGUUUAUUUUGAGGAAAUUAGAGUGUUUAAAGCAGGCUUUGCCUUGAAUACAUUAGCAUGGAAUAAUAAUAUAGGACCUCGGUUCUAUUUUGUUGGUUUCUAGAACUGUGGUAAUGAUGAAUAGGGAUAGUUGGGGAAACUGUUACUACGUUGUCAGAGGUGAAAUUCUUGGAUUUACGUAUGAACAACUAAUGCGAAAGCAUUUUUCAAGGAUGUUUUCA
rnacentral:rRNA from 1 species